rnacentral:lncRNA from 1 species
GGGGGGGGGGGGGGGGGGGGGGGGGGGGGGGGGGGGGGGGGGGGGGUGUACACUGUGCUCAGUGGUGUACACUGUGCUCCGUGUUUUACACUGUGCUCAGUGGUGUACACUCUGCUCAGUGGUGUACACUGUGCCCAGUGAUGUACACUCUGCUCCGUGUUUUACACUGUGUUCAGUGGUGUACACUGUGCUCAGUGAUGUACACCGUGCUCAGUGAUGUACACUGUGCUCAGUGGUGUACACUGUGCUCCGUGUUUUACACCGUGCUCAGUGAUUUACACUGUGUUCAGUGGUGUACACUGUGCUCAGUGAUGUACACCGUGCUCAGUGAUGUACACUGUGCUCAGUGGUGUACACUGUGCUCCGUGUUUUACACCGUGCUCAGUGAUUUACACUGUGUUCAGUGGUGUACACUGUGCUCAGUGAUGUACACCGUGCUCAGUGAUGUACACUGUGCUCAGUGGUGUACACUGUGCUCCGUGUUUUACACCGUGCUCAGUGAUUUACACUGUGUUCAGUGGUGUACACUGUGCUCAGUGAUGUACACCGUGCUCAGUGAUGUACACUGUGCUCAGUGGUGUACACUGUGCUCAGCGAUUUACACUGUGCUCAGUGAUUUACACUGUGCUCAGUAACCUACACUGUGCUCAGUGAUGUACAAUGUGUUCAGUACUUUACAAUGUGUUCAGUAAUUUCCUGCUGUUCAUCUGCCCUCUGCCAGUGGGAACCAGAGGUGCAGGGGCAGGGUUGGUGUUUUCCAUUACCCGUUAACUCCGAGCCAGCCCUCAUGCAAUUAGUUAACACAAGCAAUUGGAGGAAUUGCUCAGGGUGCUCGCUCAGCCCUUGGAAGUGCUGUGGUUCUGAUUCCAUCUCCUUUGCUGUCUCGUUCACGGAUCAGUCACAACACUGUUCCUGUGCUCCGCUGGUUUGCUGCCCUUUCAGCAACGCUGAUAUUCCCCGGCAAGGCUGGUGGCUCGGGCAUAGGGGCAACUUGUUCCCAGCCCCAGACAAAGGACAGGUCCUGGCUCUGGAGUGCAAUCCCUGGGUGCCUGAAGGGCAUGGAUCGAGCUGCAGAGCAGCUGCUCCCUUUAAACUGCAGCAAUGCCCCCAGCCAGCAUCCUGUUCAGGGGCAGGAUCACCAUCCCAAACCCCGAGCUGCUCCCAGGAAAUCUGCAGCAAUGCCCCCAGCCAGCGUCCUGUUCAGAGCGAGGAUCGCGAUCCCAAACCCCGAGCUGCUGCCGCUGCUCCCGGGAGGAGCUGCUGCUGUGGGCAGCAGGGCAGGAGCUGUUCCAAGAAGGAGCCCAAAGUUGUACUCAGAGGUUUGGAUACUCCAGGAAUCUUUUCGGCUGUGUUUGAGUAUUGA